GAUGAACGCUGGCGGCGUGCCUAAUACAUGCAAGUCGAGCGAACAGAUGAGGAGCUUGCUCCUCUGACGUUAGCGGCGGACGGGUGAGUAACACGUGGAUAACCUACCUAUAAGACUGGGAUAACUUCGGGAAACCGGAGCUAAUACCGGAUAAUAUAUUGAACCGCAUGGUUCAAUAGUGAAAGACGGUUUUGCUGUCACUUAUAGAUGGAUCCGCGCCGCAUUAGCUAGUUGGUAAGGUAACGGCUUACCAAGGCAACGAUGCGUAGCCGACCUGAGAGGGGGAUCGGCCACACUGGAACUGAGACACGGUCCAGAAUCCUACGGGAGGCAGCAGUAGGGAAUCUUCCGCAAUGGGCGAAAGCCUGACGGAGCAACGCCGCGUGAGUGAUGAAGGUCUUCGGAUCGUAAAACUCUGUUAUUAGGGAAGAACAAAUGUGUAAGUAACUAUGCACGUCUUGACGGUACCUAAGCAGAAAGCCACGGCUAACUACGU
rnacentral:rRNA from 1 species